AUUAUUACGAGUUUGAUCCUGGCUCCGGAAGAACGCAAGAGAUGUGCUUAACACAUGCUAAUUGAAUGGUAUUAAUAUAUCAUAGUGUAAUAGUGAGUAAUGUAUGAGAAUUUAUUUUUAGAAUAUAAUAAAAAUUUAAUAAUUUAUAAUAAACGCAAUAGUGUUUUAAAAGAUAAUUAUUGUCUAAAAAAAAGCUCAUAUCUAAUUAGCUAGUUGGUGAAGUAAUAGUUUUACCAAGGCGAAGAUUAGUAGCUGCCUUGAGAGGGGAAACAGCCACAUAGAGAUUGAAAUACAGCUCUAACUCCUAAGGGGGGCAGCAGUGGGGAAUUUUCUGCAAUAAGCGCAAGCUUGACAGAGCGUCAUCACAUGAAGGAGGAAGGCCUAUAAAGGUUGUAAACUUCUUUUGCUUAAAAAAAUAAUACUGACGUUUAAGUUUAAAAAGUAUCGGCUAACUCCGUGCCAGCAGCCGCGGUAAUACGGGGGAUACAAGCGUUUUCCAAAAUUACUGGGCGUAAAGUGUAUGUAGGUGGAUUGGUAUGUUCUUCCUUAAAUACUAUUUGAUAAAUUUAGAAAAAGGAAGAAAACUAUUAAUCUUGAGUUCGAUAAGGGUAAGAGGAAUUUUUUGAGGAGUAGUGAAAUGCGAAGAUACAAAAAAGAAGAUCAACAGCGAAAGCAUCUUACUGGGUCGAUACUGACACUGAGAUACGAAAGUUAAGGUAGCAAAUGGGAUUAGAUACCCCAGUAGUCUUAACUGUAAACAAUGGAUACUCGGUACUGGAGACAUUAAAUAUAUAAAUUCAGUACCCUAGCUAACGCGUUAAGUAUUCCGCCUGAGUAGUACGCUCGCAAGGGUGAAACUCAAAGGAAUUGACGGGGGCUCGUACAAGCGGUGGAGCAUGUAAUUUAAUUCGAUGUAACGCGAUAAACCUUACCAGAACUAGACUAAAUUUAUUUUAAAUUAUUAAUAUUAAUUAAUAAAAAAUUUACAGGAGGUGCAUGGCUGUCGUCAGCUCGUGUCGUGAGAUGUUGGGUUAAGUCCCGCUACGAGCGCUACCCUUAUUUAAAGUUUUUUAUAUCUUUAAAAACAGACUAUAUAAAUUUUUGUACUAAAUUAGUAGGAAGGAGAGGAAAACGUCAAGUCUUUAUGCCCUUUAUGUUCUGGGCUACAUAC
rnacentral:ncRNA from 1 species